AAGGUUAAGUGGCGAGCGGGUGAGUAGAAUACAAAUUAUGUACCAUACAGUAUUGGAUACUUUCCUAGAAAUAGGUUAUUAAUCCUCUAUAUAAAAAAAGAUUAUAUCGCUGUAUGCCAAGUUUGUACUGGAUUAAGUAGUUGGUGUGGUAAUGGCGCACCAAGCUGUAUCCAUAGCCGGUUUUGAAAGAACGAUCGGCCACAUUAGGACUUUUAAAAGGCCUAAACUCCCACGGGGGGCAGCAGUAAGAAAAAGUAGGCAAUGGACUAACGUCUGACCACGCGACACUUCAUGAUGGAAGAAGGUGAAGCUGCCGUAAACAUCUCUUUAAAAGGGAGAAUAAUGAUGUUACCUUUAAAGCAGUACUGACUAAUUCUGUGCCAGCAGUCGCGGUAAGACGAGAGGGUGCAAGCAUUAUUCAGUC
rnacentral:rRNA from 1 species